GAUGAACGCUAGCUACAGGCUUAACACAUGCAAGUCGAGGGGAAACGGCAUUGAGUGCUUGCACUCUUUGGACGUCGACCGGCGCACGGGUGAGUAACGCGUAUCCAACCUUCCCAUUACUGUGGGAUAACCUGCCGAAAGGCAGACUAAUACCGCAUAGUCUUCGAUGACGGCAUCAGAUUUGAAGUAAAGAUUUAUCGGUAAUGGAUGGGGAUGCGUCUGAUUAGCUUGUUGGCGGGGUAACGGCCCACCAAGGCUACGAUCAGUAGGGGUUCUGAGAGGAAGGUCCCCCACAUUGGAACUGAGACACGGUCCAAACUCCUACGGGAGGCAGCAGUGAGGAAUAUUGGUCAAUGGACGGAAGUCUGAACCAGCCAAGUAGCGUGCGGGAUGACGGCCCUAUGGGUUGUAAACUGCUUUUGUAUGGGGAUAAAGUUAGGGACGUGUCCCUAUUUGCAGGUACCAUACGAAUAAGGACCGGCUAAUUCCGUG
rnacentral:rRNA from 1 species